rnacentral:lncRNA from 1 species
AGUGGUAGUGGUAGUGGUAGUGGUAGUAAUGUUACUAACAAUAAUAAAUGUAUAAAAUGUAAAGAAAGGUAUUAUAAAGACGUUAUUGAUAAUUCAGUUUGUUCCGGUUUAUGUGUAGAAUUUUCAACCUCAUUUGAAGGGUCAAUUGAUAAAAAACAGUGUUUUUGCACAAAAGGUAGAUAUAUGGUCACUGAACAAUCAUCCGAAAUGAAAUGCGUAAGUUGUCCUAAAGGUGCUUUAUGUAUUGGUGGAUUAAAAUACAGAACUUUAAUAAAAAUAAUGAAUAAUCCAUAUUAUACCAAUAUAACUAUAGACGAUCAUGCUAUCCCAUUACCGAAAAAAGGAUUUUUUGCAACUUAUGAAAUUAACCAUAUAGAUUUUAAAUGGUCGCCUAUGAACUCAUUAAAUGUUAUAAUAAAUAACCAUGACACAUAUGAUAUUAUAGUAGAAAAAAAUAAUAUGUUAACUUUGUUUGGUGACAAAAUGCAACACGUCACAAUGGAGUCCUACCCGUCAAAGGAAACGAAUUUGCAUACAAAUACGAAAAUACAGAAAAAAGUGCGGAAAACAAUGCAGUCGGAAAUGCAGAAAAAAAUGCUGUCGAAAAUAGAUACAAGCUUUUUGAGCAUACAUGACACAACAAAUAUCACAAAAAACGAAUUAAGAGACUCCAAAACAACAACAUGGACAUCUGUUUUAGUAAAUGAAAAAAAGGAAAAGAUAAAAUAUAAAAAUGGAUAUUUAACAGUGGAUCGAAUCCCAGAUUUUCAUGCGUGUCCAAACAAUAAUAGGUGUACUGGAGGUACUCAUAAAGUAUGUGUUGAAGGUUCUGAAGGAUAUUUAUGUAGCAAUUGUUCAAAAAAUUAUGACAUUUCAUAUAUAGGUUCCAUAUGUUUUAAAUGUAAUGUAAGCAAAAAAAAAGAAAUGUGGCAAUUUUUACAAAUAAAGAUAUUUUUUUAUAUUAUCAUUUAUUUGUUAGUAUAUUUAAAUUAUUUUUGUUUUAUACAAAAGAAUUUUGUUUUUAUUGGGUUUUUUAAAAUAUGGUACUCAUUUAUUAUUUGUUUAUUGCCUUAUUUAUUUAUUAUCGAUUCUAAUAGGAUUCCAAGUAACAAUUAUCUACAUUUUUUUCAUUUUUUUAUUAUCUCGCCUAUCAAAUAUAUUACUAAAUAUGUUAGAUUAAAUUGUUUUAUAAAUACUAAUAGUGAUUUUAAAUAUGAACAUAUAUGGUAUAUACAAAGAUUUAUUAAAAUUGUCGAACCUUUAGUUGAUUGUAUUAUGGUGACUAUUCUAUUUUUUUUUAUUUAUUUUUUAUACACUUUUUGGAAUAGUAAAAAAUUAAAAAAAGCUGAAAAAGUGAUUCAAAAACAAAUAGAUGACAGAAAUGAAGAUAAUUAUUAUCAGUAUAUAGAUGAUUUUGCUUAUAGAUAUCCGAGAAAAUUUAGUCAAACCAUAUGUAAGCAAAAUAUAACUAAAAAUAAAAAUAAAAGGAUUAAAAAAUGGGACAAUUCUGACAUAGAAGAAUAUGUACGACAAAGUCAAAAUAAGCGUACGAGCAUUUGGGCAAAAUGUUUCAAUAGUAUAAUGGAUAAUACUAUGAGAAAAAAAAAAAUAGACAAAAAUGUGAGCAAUAAUGGUAGUACUAAUGGCAGUACUAAUGGCGAUACUAAUAGCGGUACUAAUAAUUUUGCCAACAUAUUCACAGGCGAAAAUAACCAAAACAAAGAAAAAAAAAAAAAAAUAAAUAGACAUUUUCACGUAAAAGACAAAGAAAAACGCAAUAAACAUAGUAAUCAAAAUUUUCCAAAAUUUCCAAAUUUUCCAGAUGUAUCAGACGUAUCAGAUGUAUUAGGCAAAAAGAAUGACCAGAAUGGGGAUGCAAACGAAGAAACAUAUACAACAUAUAGUAGCACUAAUAUUCAGAAAUAUGUUUUGAACCCGAUUUCUUCUACAAACUUCAUGACAUCUGAUUCGGAAAAUCACUCGAACGAAUCAAACGACGUUGAUGAGGAACAAGAAUCAUCAUCUGCUGACGAGGGUAUUAUACAUUAUAAAGAAUUAUACAUAAAAAAUGAAACCACUAGAAAAAACACACAGAGCAUACAAAAUAAUAUUAUAAAAGAUACUUAUUGGACAUAUAUGUGUUUAUUAAAUAUAUAUAAUAUAAGAGUUUUAGGUUUAUUUCGUUUUAUACAUCCACCAAACACAAGUUGGUAUACAAAAAUCAAAAAAUUAUUAGAAGAUUUUAAAGCAGCAUAUGUUAUUAUUUUAUACCUUCAUUUACCAUUUACACUUAUGAGUACAGUCGAACUUUUAUGGUGUCAACCAAUAAAAUACAAAAAUAAUAAUCCUACAUUAAUUUUAUAUCACAUGCCAUCACAGGUUUGUAGCUUGAAAAACAAAUUGUUUGUAUUUGGAAUAGUAUACGCUUUAUUAUUUCAACUGAUAUAUAUUUUUAUAGUUUUAAGAUCUAUUUAUAAAGCCAUGAAUAUAUUCAAAACAAAUUCAUCUUAUACCAAUCAGUUAAAUAAUUACUUUUUAUUUAAUGGAUAUAAUUACAAAAACAGAUGUUGGGAUAUAAUGGAUUUUAUAAAAUUAAUAUUUGUUGUGUUUUGUUUUAUUUGUAAAUUAUACACUUAUGGAAAUUAUAAUUCAAAAUAUUUUAUAUGUUGUGUUAUGAUUUUAACUGUAAGUACAUAUGCUACUUUGGUCUCAUUAUUUUCUCCUCACGAUAAAAGAUCUAAUAAUGUUUUACGGACAUUUCGAUAUUUAUGUAUUUCUUCAAUCGCUUUGAUUUAUUUGACACUACAAACUAGUUUUUUUUUUAACUUCACCAUUUUGAAUAUUAUUCCAUUUAUUUUUUUUAUUUUUUUUUAUAUUUAUAUUAUAAAUAAAGUUAUACUAGAAUGGAUCAUAUUCAAGCAUAUUUUGAAAAGGCACAGAAUAUCUGGAAAUUCCAAUAAAGCGGUGUUAGAAGAUUUUUUCAAUGAUGUUUCUGCAUUGGUUUUUUUUUCUAACAAUAAUGAUAAAAGUGUUAUCGAUGGACAAAAGGAUGAACAAACAACUGAUCCGAUAUUACUAGAAGAAAAUGGUCUUAAUGGUCCAAAUAAUAAAUUUUUUGGGGAUUCCUUUAAAAAAAAUAAUAAAAAUAGUAACGCUAAUGGGGAACAAAAUAAAAACAGAGUAAAACAAACAUUAAAAGAGCAGUUUUUUGAUUUCAUUUUAAGAAUAAAUAAUAUACCUUCUUAUUUCAUUUAUCUUAAUGUCAAAACAGACGAAAUUUUUUUAAUUGAAGAGACAUAUAAUACAAGUAAAAAGUAUAAACAGUUGAUAAAUGCAUUAAAAGGUAAUUGUUUGAAUAAAAAUAUACACAUGGAAGUAAUUGAUUUAAAAUCAGGACAUUAUAAAAUGUUUAACAGUAACUUAAGAAGUAAUUCAGAUGAAAAUAACGACAACUUUAAUAACGACAACUUUAAUAACACAACUUAUGACACAACUUAUGACACAGCUUAUGACACAACUUAUGACACAACUUAUGACA